rnacentral:rRNA from 1 species
ACGAACGCUGGCGGCGUGCUUAACACCUGCCAGUCGAACGGAAAGGCCCUGCUUUUGUGGGGUGCUCGAGUGGCGAACGGGUGAGUAACACGUGAGUAACCUGCCCUUGACUUUGGGAUAACUUCAGGAAACUGGGGCUAAUACCGGAUAGGAGCUCCUGCUGCAUGGUGGGGGUUGGAAAGUUUCGGCGGUUGGGGAUGGACUCGCGGCUUAUCAGCUUGUUGGUGGGGUAGUGGCUUACCAAGGCUUUGACGGGUAGCCGGCCUGAGAGGGUGACCGGCCACAUUGGGACUGAGAUACGGCCCAGACUCCUACGGGAGGCAGCAGUGGGGAAUAUUGCACAAUGGGCGGAAGCCUGACGCAGCAACGCCGCGUGCGGGAUGACGGCCUUCGGGUUGUAAACCGCUUUCGCCUGUGACGAAGCGUGAGUGACGGUAAUGGGUAAAGAAGCACCGGCUAACUACGUG